rnacentral:siRNA from 1 species
CAUAAUGGAAAUGUAUCGGAC